rnacentral:rRNA from 1 species
CCUACGGGUGGCAGCAGUGGGGAAUAUUGGACAAUGGGCGAAAGCCUGAUCCAGCCAUGCCGCGUGUGUGAAGAAGGCCUUCGGGUUGUAAAGCACUUUCAGUGGGGAAGAAAGCCUUGGGGCUAAUACCCUCGAGGAAGGACAUCACCCACAGAAGAAGCACCGGCUAACUCCGUGCCAGCAGCCGCGGUAAUACGGAGGGUGCGAGCGUUAAUCGGAAUUACUGGGCGUAAAGCGCGCGUAGGCGGUCUGAUAAGCCGGUUGUGAAAGCCCCGGGCUCAACCUGGGAACGGCAUCCGGAACUGUCAGGCUAGAGUGCAGGAGAGGAAGGUAGAAUUCCCGGUGUCGCGGUGAAAUGCGUAGAGAUCGGGAGGAAUACCAGUGGCGAAGGCGGCCUUCUGGACUGACACUGACGCUGAGGUGCGAAAGCGUGGGUAGCAAACAGGAUUAGCUACCCGAGUAGUC